ensembl:lncRNA
UACAGAUAACUGCUUGUGGGGUUUUGUCGAUGUCUGUGCAGGUCUGAAAGUCCCACUGGGCAUCUUUCCAAAUGUUUAGUGACUCAAAAUGUUUUGAAACCUGGCACUCAGUGAUCGUAGUGACACUGGUGUCAUUCUGGGAGAAGGGAGGAGAUGGAGCAAGAGGUCACGCAGUAGCUGAGCAGUAGAGCUGUCCUGGGCUCAAAGCCCCAAAUCAUCCUCCCUUUCUCCCACAGCGCAUCUAGGAGGCACAGAUGUGUUUUUGGCUGCCUUCCUUCCCAUAGCGCAUAGUAAAUAAUUAGCAUGCAUAGCCAAGCUCGUUGGUCAUCUGUUAUUGUAACUGAUAAUUAAUUUAAGGGGUUAUUGAUUCCCAUACCAAAUCUUUACUCAUUGGUGGUAGAGAAACUAGUAGUCAUUCACAGGGUCUUUAUUGACAGAUUUCAGAGUAAGAACUGAGUAAGGCAGCAUGGGAAUGGAUGUGUUGCCAUGCAACCUGUAGGUUGGUUUGUGCCUUCCAGAUCAUGAGGACAUUUAAAUUGACCAAAGUUUGCAGCAUCACAGAAUUGCAGGAGUUUGAAGGGACCACAAGAGAUCAUUGAGUCCAAGCCUCCUUGCUAAAGCAGGUACCUUAAACUCAAGUUUAACUCAGAGAAAGGUCUAACCUUGUCUCUGAGACCAUUCUUGCCAGGUUACCAGCAGUCUGGUGGGUGCUUUCAGGAGGAACAGGGCAAUCACCAAACAGCUCUCCAGAACCAACUCCUCAGUGUCCAGUGUCCAAAAACCCUUGCCUUGCCUGCCAGGCACAAGCACUGCAUUGCACGGGAACACUUAGAGCCGAUUGCCUACGAAUUUCUGACCUUUGCCCACAGUACUCUGAGAACUCUUUCCUUGUGCCCUUCCCUGAAAUGCUUCCUUGCUUCCACAGCUUCCUAAAUUCCAUCUAAGCUCCCUCCCAUGACCUGAAAGCUCAGUUCUUCCCCCUUUCUACCAUGGUGCCCUGUUCAGUGCCAGGUGCUUUGCUGGAAUCUUGCUCAGACCUCCUCCAUUCUGCUGUCAUGGGGCAAGUCUGUGCACAUGGCCUAGCAUUUCUCUGGAAACAUCGUAUUUGGGUCUCUGUACUCAGCCCAGCUGCUGUUUAUCACUGAGAUUGCCAUAACAUCCUUGGGCCUUGGAGACCCUCACCUUGAAGUCCUGUGUGGUUGAGAUUGUUCCCUGGAUAGUGAUAGGACAAGGGGGAAUGGUUUUAAACUAAGACAGGGGAUGUUUAGGUUAGAUAUUAGGAGGGAGUUUUUCACACCAAGGGUGGUGACACACUGGAACAGGUUGCCCAAGGAGGUUGUGGAUGCCCCAUCCCUGGAGGCAUUCAAGGCCAGGCUGGAUGUGGCUCUGGGCAGCCUGGUCUGGUGGUUGGCG